rnacentral:tRNA from 1 species
AUUCUUAUAGUUUAUUAUAAAAUGUAACAGUGAAAAUGUUAGGAAAGGAUUCUUAAGAAUA